rnacentral:rRNA from 1 species
UACGUAGGGGGCAAGCGUUGUCCGGAAUCAUUGGGCGUAAAGAGCGUGUAGGCGGCCCGGUAAGUCCGCUGUGAAAGUCCAGGGCUCAACCCUGGGAUGCCGGUGGAUACUGUCGGGCUCGAGUCCGGAAGAGGCGAGUGGAAUUCCUGGUGUAGCGGUGAAAUGCGCAGAUAAUCAGGAGGAACACCAAUGGCGAAGGCAGCUCGCUGGGACGUGACUGACGCUGAGACGCGAAAGCGUGGGGAGCAAACAGG